rnacentral:tRNA from 1 species
GUCUCCUUAAUACAAACAGUAUUGAUGACUUCCAAUCAUCCAAUUUUGGUUAAAACCCCAAAAGAAGACA